rnacentral:rRNA from 1 species
CCCCUAGAUGUCCUGGGCCGCACGCGCGUUACACUGAUGCAUUCACCGAGCUUAUAACCUUGGCCGAGAGGCCUGGGCAAUCUUGUUAACGUGCAUCGUGAUAGGGAUAGAUUAUUGAAAUUAUUAAUCUUGAACGAGGAAUUCCUAGUAAACGCAGAUCAUCAAUCUGCAUUGAUUACGUCCCUGCCCUUUGUACACACCGCCCGUCGCACCUACCGAUUGGAUGGUCCGGUGAAGCCUCGGGAUUGUGGUUCUUGCCGCUUUAUUGUGGCGUGACCGCGAGAACUUGUCUAAACCUUAUCAUCUAGAGGAAGGUGAAGUCGUAACA